rnacentral:rRNA from 1 species
ACUAAGCGUACACGGUGGAUGCCCUGGCAGUCAGAGGCGAUGAAGGACGUGCUAAUCUGCGAUAAGCGUCGGUAAGGUGAUAUGAACCGUUAUAACCGGCGAUUUCCGAAUGGGGAAACCCAGUGUGAUUCGUCACACUAUCAUUAACUGAAUCCAUAGGUUAAUGAGGCGAACCGGGGGAACUGAAACAUCUAAGUACCCCGAGGAAAAGAAAUCAACCGAGAUUCCCCCAGUAGCGGCGAGCGAACGGGGAGCAGCCCAGAGCCUGAAUCAGUGUGUGUGUUAGUGGAAGCGUCUGGAAAGGCGCGCGAUACAGGGUGACAGCCCCGUACACAAAAAUGCACAUACUGUGAGCUCGAUGAGUAGGGCGGGACACGUGGUAUCCUGUCUGAAUAUGGGGGGACCAUCCUCCAAGGCUAAAUACUCCUGACUGACCGAUAGUGAACCAGUACCGUGAGGGAAAGGCGAAAAGAACCCCGGCGAGGGGAGUGAAAAAGAACCUGAAACCGUGUACGUACAAGCAGUGGGAGCACAGAGCAAUCUGUGUGACUGCGUACCUUUUGUAUAAUGGGUCAGCGACUUAUAUUCUGUAGCAAGGUUAACCGAAUAGGGGAGCCGAAGGGAAACCGAGUCUUAACUGGGCGUUAAGUUGCAGGGUAUAGACCCGAAACCCGGUGAUCUAGCCAUGGGCAGGUUGAAGGUUGGGUAACACUAACUGGAGGACCGAACCGACUAAUGUUGAAAAAUUAGCGGAUGACUUGUGGCUGGGGGUGAAAGGCCAAUCAAACCGGGAGAUAGCUGGUUCUCCCCGAAAGCUAUUUAGGUAGCGCCUCGUGAAUUCAUCUCCGGGGGUAGAGCACUGUUUCGGCAAGGGGGUCAUCCCGACUUACCAACCCGAUGCAAACUGCGAAUACCGGAGAAUGUUAUCACGGGAGACACACGGCGGGUGCUAACGUCCGUCGUGAAGAGGGAAACAACCCAGACCGCCAGCUAAGGUCCCAAAGUCAUGGUUAAGUGGGAAACGAUGUGGGAAGGCCCAGACAGCCAGGAUGUUGGCUUAGAAGCAGCCAUCAUUUAAAGAAAGCGUAAUAGCUCACUGGUCGAGUCGGCCUGCGCGGAAGAUGUAACGGGGCUAAACCAUGCACCGAAGCUGCGGCAGCGACGCUGAUGCGUUGUUGGGUAGGGGAGCGUUCUGUAAGCCUGCGAAGGUGUGCUGUGAGGCAUGCUGGAGGUAUCAGAAGUGCGAAUGCUGACAUAAGUAACGAUAAAGCGGGUGAAAAGCCCGCUCGCCGGAAGACCAAGGGUUCCUGUCCAACGUUAAUCGGGGCAGGGUGAGUCGACCCCUAAGGCGAGGCCGAAAGGCGUAGUCGAUGGGAAACAGGUUAAUAUUCCUGUACUUGGUGUUACUGCGAAGGGGGGACGGAGAAGGCUAUGUUGGCCGGGCGACGGUUGUCCCGGUUUAAGCGUGUAGGCUGGUUUUCCAGGCAAAUCCGGAAAAUCAAGGCUGAGGCGUGAUGACGAGGCACUACGGUGCUGAAGCAACAAAUGCCCUGCUUCCAGGAAAAGCCUCUAAGCAUCAGGUAACAUCAAAUCGUACCCCAAACCGACACAGGUGGUCAGGUAGAGAAUACCAAGGCGCUUGAGAGAACUCGGGUGAAGGAACUAGGCAAAAUGGUGCCGUAACUUCGGGAGAAGGCACGCUGAUAUGUAGGUGAAGUCCCUCGCGGAUGGAGCUGAAAUCAGUCGAAGAUACCAGCUGGCUGCAACUGUUUAUUAAAAACACAGCACUGUGCAAACACGAAAGUGGACGUAUACGGUGUGACGCCUGCCCGGUGCCGGAAGGUUAAUUGAUGGGGUUAGCGCAAGCGAAGCUCUUGAUCGAAGCCCCGGUAAACGGCGGCCGUAACUAUAACGGUCCUAAGGUAGCGAAAUUCCUUGUCGGGUAAGUUCCGACCUGCACGAAUGGCGUAAUGAUGGCCAGGCUGUCUCCACCCGAGACUCAGUGAAAUUGAACUCGCUGUGAAGAUGCAGUGUACCCGCGGCAAGACGGAAAGACCCCGUGAACCUUUACUAUAGCUUGACACUGAACAUUGAGCCUUGAUGUGUAGGAUAGGUGGGAGGCUUUGAAGUGUGGACGCCAGUCUGCAUGGAGCCGACCUUGAAAUACCACCCUUUAAUGUUUGAUGUUCUAACGUUGACCCGUAAUCCGGGUUGCGGACAGUGUCUGGUGGGUAGUUUGACUGGGGCGGUCUCCUCCUAAAGAGUAACGGAGGAGCACGAAGGUUGGCUAAUCCUGGUCGGACAUCAGGAGGUUAGUGCAAUGGCAUAAGCCAGCUUGACUGCGAGCGUGACGGCGCGAGCAGGUGCGAAAGCAGGUCAUAGUGAUCCGGUGGUUCUGAAUGGAAGGGCCAUCGCUCAACGGAUAAAAGGUACUCCGGGGAUAACAGGCUGAUACCGCCCAAGAGUUCAUAUCGACGGCGGUGUUUGGCACCUCGAUGUCGGCUCAUCACAUCCUGGGGCUGAAGUAGGUCCCAAGGGUAUGGCUGUUCGCCAUUUAAAGUGGUACGCGAGCUGGGUUUAGAACGUCGUGAGACAGUUCGGUCCCUAUCUGCCGUGGGCGCUGGAGAAUUGAGGGGGGCUGCUCCUAGUACGAGAGGACCGGAGUGGACGCAUCACUGGUGUUCGGGUUGUCAUGCCAAUGGCACUGCCCGGUAGCUAAAUGCGGAAGAGAUAAGUGCUGAAAGCAUCUAAGCACGAAACUUGCCCCGAGAUGAGUUCUCCCUGACUCCUUGAGAGUCCUGAAGGAACGUUGAAGACGACGACGUUGAUAGGCCGGGUGUGUAAGCGCAGCGAUGCGUUGAGCUAACCGGUACUAAUGAACCGUGAGGCUUAACC